AACUAUUCUUUGAUUUUCUCUGAGAAAGUCAGAUUCUGAUGGGUUUUGUAAAUUUGGGAAUCAAUCUUCUGAACCUCUAGUCUUUUGGUGUUUUUAGCUCUCUUACGCCUUGUGGAAUGGAUCUGAGCCACAUGAAAGGAUCGAUGCCGAUGCCGAUGCCGACGCCGACUUCAAUUUCUGCUAGAAAAUCCACAGAUAUGGUUUCUGAUCAGUUCCCGGCCGGUCUUCGCGUCCUGGUUGUUGACGACGAUCCUACCUGUCUCAGGAUCUUGGAAAAGAUGCUUCAGAAUUGCUGCUAUGCCGUGACGAAAUGCAACCGGGCGGAGAUUGCGUUAUCCAUGCUUCGUGAGAACAAAAAUGGUUAUGAUAUUGUUUUAAGCGAUGUGCAUAUGCCUGACAUGGAUGGAUUCAAGCUUCUAGAGCAAGUCGG
rnacentral:misc_RNA from 1 species